UCAAAAGGGAUCAAGUAAUGGGUCAUAACCCAAUCUGUCAAAUUUUUACUAUUUUUAGUUAUUUUAUUUUUUCUUUUUAAAGAUUUUAGUACCUAAUAAAAUUAUUAUCAUUUUUAUUAGGACUAAAUAUAACAUAUCAAAUUUUAAAAAAUUAAAAUAUUUUGUCAAGAUUUCUCAUUAGUCAAUUUUUAUUACUUAUCAACCCAUUUUUAAUGUACUGAAAUGAGUUGAGCUAAUCAAUAGGUGAGUCAAUAACCCGCCCAAACCUAAACGGAUUGUGUUUGAUUUUUCCACCUCUAAUUGUUUUAGUGGUGAGAGUGAGAGUGUGUGUUAGGGGAAGUAAAGAAAUAAAAAUUAAUUUCAAUAGAGAGAUGUAAAGAAAGUGUGAUAAACAUUCCAAAUAAAGAAGAGUCAGAUAUACAAAACACUUACCUUUAUUGGCAAUAUUCCUUAGAGUUGUUCGAUCAAAUCUUUAGUUUAGGCCUUGAAUUGAUAAAUCCUGAAAAUUAGAUUAAAAAACUCAUAUCGACAUGCUUAAAUUGAAAAUAGCGAUGAAUCAAAUGAUAACUUACUUGUGCCAAAUCUUGGAGUUGUUGGUGGAAGGCCUUAGAUUGAAGCCUUAAAAUCGAAAAUAAUAAUAAAAAAAUCAUAACUUAGAUCUCUGAUUGUCAUUCUCAAGUGUUUGACACAUGCACAAUAGAAGGAUAUAAAAAACAAAGGAAUGAAUUGGAUGAAAGAUGAAAAGAAUAGGUGGACAUACCAAUGCAUAGUGAAAUUG
rnacentral:lncRNA from 1 species